rnacentral:misc_RNA from 1 species
GAAAUGUGAUAAGUAAUGUGAAUUGCAGAAUUCAGUGAAUCAUCGAAUCUUUGAACGCACCUUGCGCUCUCUGGUAUUCCGGAGAGCAUGCCUGUUUGAGUGUCAUGAACUCUUCAACCCACCGGUUCCUUGUUGAACUGAGUUGGUGUUUGGUUUUUGAGUGUUUGCUUUUGUAUUUAUACUUAAGCUCACUCGUAAUACAUUAGCAUCUCAAUUUUGAAAUUUCGGAUUGACUCAGCGUAAUAGACUAUUCGCUGAGGACACUUUUAUUAGUGGCCGACAUUACGAUAACAGUAGACGCUUCUAAUCCUACUAGUCAUUUUUUGAUUAGACCUCAAAUCAGGCAGGAUUACCCGCUGAACUUAA